rnacentral:rRNA from 1 species
GUUCCCCCUUCGGGGGACAGGGUGACAGGUGGUGCAUGGUUGUCGUCAGCUCGUGUCGUGAGAUGUUGGGUUAAGUCCCGCAACGAGCGCAACCCUCGACCUUAGUUGCCAGCAUUCAGUUGGGCACUCUAAGGUGACUGCCGGCUAAAAGUCGGAGGAAGGUGGGGAUGACGUCAAAUCAUCAUGCCCCUUAUGACCUGGGCUACACACGUGCUACAAUGGGCGGUACAAAGGGUCGCGAACCCGCGAGGGGGAGCCAAUCCCAAAAAGCCGCUCUCAGUUCGGAUUGCAGGCUGCAACUCGCCUGCAUGAAGCCGGAAUCGCUAGUAAUCGCGGAUCAGCAUGCCGCGGUGAAUACGCUCCCGGGCCUU